rnacentral:rRNA from 1 species
CACGGGGGGAGCAAGCGUUGUUCGGAAUCACUGGGCGUAAAGGGCGUGCAGGCGGUCAGGUAAGGGGGAUGUGAAAUGCCCCGGCUCACCCGGGGACCGGCAUCUCAUACUGCUUGGCUUGAGUACGGGAGAGGAUGUGGGAAUUCCUGGUGUAGCGGUGAAAUGCGUAGAUAUCAGGAGGAACACCGGUGGCGAAGGCGCACAUCUGGCCCGAUACUGACGCUGAGGCGCGAAAGCUAGGGGAGCAAACGGG